AUAUUAUUCAAUAAAAUACACAAUACAUUAUUCUCGACAUAAUAUCAGAGUUUUACAUAUUCUAGUUAGCUUUUAUCUUAUAGCCAGAUUCAUGCACCCAGCCAGACUGGCGACUUAGCCACAUGCACGCACCAGCGAUGCAACUGGCUAUGCGGAUCCACUAGGUUGCUCGUGUGCCACUCUCUGCUCCAGCAGUCCACGUAUUCCCUGCUCCAACCACCAUCAGUGGCUGCUCCUUCAGCUGCUGCACGUGCUGCCCCUUGCUAUCUAGUUGAACCAGCCUUCAUUAUCAGAAGCCACAUUACAGGUCAUUGGUGCUAAUUUAGAAACACAAGAAUUAACUGGAGGAUUCUAGCAAAUUCGGGUGACCAAUCGCCUGAAUGGGAAAAACUACCCAAAUUGGUCACAACUAAUUCGUGCUAUCCUCAAAGGAAAAGGUAAGCUCAGCCAUACUUCGGGCAUUGAGCCAAAAUCGGGAGACCUACAACUUGACGCAUGGAGUGAAGAGGAGUCGACAAUAAUGGCUUGACUCUAGAAUUCAAAAGCAACAGUGAUGUUCAACACGUGUAUGUUCCCUUCCACUGCUAAAAAGGUUUAGGAUGCACAGAGAAACUUGUUAAAAAUGAAUGAGUGCAUAUUUUGUUGAAUACCAAGGUCCUACAUAUACAAGUUUUUGUUAAAUAUGGAAGUAAAUCAAUGUAUUAAACAGGAAGUAAAUCAAGGAAUUGAAGGAAGUAAAUUAGGGCGUUAACAAGUUUUUGUUAAAUAUGGCAUUCCUACCUUUGCGGACAGCAGUUUCGCAUCAAAACAAGUAACUAUAUUCUCAAAUUUCUAUUGAAACAGCAAGUUCUAAAUUCUCCUCAACAACAUUGGAUCAGUAAGCUAUUGGAUAAUAACCCCUAUGAUGGAGUAUUGUGCUAGUGGAGGGAGAAUUUAGUGGCAGAUGCUCUCUCUAGGCAAUUUGAGUCUACCAGUAAUUUCUUAGCCAUCUCAAUCCCUUUUCUUGACUACUUCGAUGGUACCCGUGGAAGGUGAAAAAAAAAAUUUGUUUCGUUACAGCAUCUAGCGACAUGGAUUUUACAAGGUAUUAAAUGGCCAUUGAUAAGUGAGCAAUGGGUUAAACUUUUACAAAAAGAUAACUUUCCUUUUUCCAGAAUCCUCUUUCUGUGAAUUAUUUGUGGGUGCAAUUCAUACCUAGUUUAAUGAAGAAUACCAGAAACCAUCCGAAGGCUCACUAUGAACUUUUUUUUUUAGUCGAAGUGAACGAAGUCUAGGGCAUUCUUGUGUGACUUGUCAAUGUAACAAAGUUGAACAACUAAACCUGCUAGUUUUCUGCAAUCUUUACCUGCUCUUAAUCAAGUUGGUCCGAUAUAUCUACAGAUUUUGUGAAGGGGCUUCCCAUUUCGCAUGGCAAAAAUGAGUUAUUGGUGGUGGUAGAUCGUUUUCCAAGAAUGCUUAUUUCCUUCCUCUAUCUCAAUUUGUUCAGCUACCAUCUUCAACCCGAUGGUCAAACUAUAGUGGUUAAUCGAACUGAAACAUACCUCCAUUGCUUCACAGGAUACCAUCCUACAAGCUGGAAUCAAUGGGUCUUUUGGGCUGAAUUCGCUAAUAACAUUGGGUUCACUCUUCAUUGAAGGCUAUACCCUUUAAGGUAGUCUAUGGCCAACCAGUUCCUCAACUUCCCUCUUAUUGCCCUAGGUUAUCUAAGAUGGAAGCUGUGGAUUGUGAAUUACUGAACCUUGAUCAAAUGUUAUAUGGAUUGCAAAGCAGGUUCCUGCAAGCUCAGUAGCCGUGAAACAAAUCUAUUAUGCUCAUCAACGGAGGUCAUCUUUAAUGUAGGUGACUUGGUACUUUUGAAGUUGCAACCAUAUUGCCAAACUUCUCUAGGCAAAAAGGGUCCAGAAGUUAUCUCCCUAGUGUUAUGGGCCUUUUAUAAUAAUCCAGUUCAUUGAGGACAUUGCAAUUAAAAUGGAGCUACCAUCAACUUCCAAGCUACAUCCAGUUUUUCAUGUCUCCCAAACCUUAUCAUGGACGGCAAGGUGUCCCUCCCACUCUUCCUCCUCUCCGUCAAAGUAUCCCUUUUUCUUAUCUACAAGCUCCAGUAAAUUCCCGUUACAACAAGGGACAGCAUGAGGUAUUUAUCCAUUGGGAGGGUCUUUUAUCAGCAGAUGCUUCUUGAGAACUUGUUGAUCAAAUGGCUUUUCAAAAUCCCUACUUUGUGCUUGAGGACAAGUUUCAUUUCUAGAGUGGAAGUGAUGUUAGAGAACAACGUAAUGGUUCCUUCCAAAAGGGUGUAUCAAAAAAGAAAUAAAAAAUAAAUUAUGUGUAAUUAGGUACUAACAGUGGUAUGCUAUAUUGUGCACAAAAUAUUUUGUCCUAAAAUAUGUAGCAUAUCUG
rnacentral:lncRNA from 1 species